UAAGGGCGCACGGUGGAUGCCUUGGCACUAGAAGCCGAUGAAGGACGUUACUAACGACGAUAUGCUUUGGGGAGCUGUAAGUAAGCUUUGAUCCAGAGAUUUCCGAAUGGGGAAACCCAGCAUGAGUUAUGUCAUGUUAUCGAUAUGUGAAUACAUAGCAUAUCAGAAGGCACACCCGGAGAACUGAAACAUCUUAGUACCCGGAGGAAGAGAAAGAAAAUUCGAUUCCCUUAGUAGCGGCGAGCGAAACGGGAAGAGCCCAAACCAACAAGCUUGCUUGUUGGGGUUGUAGGACACUCUAUACGGAGUUACAAAGGACGACAUUAGACGAAUCAUCUGGAAAGAUGAAUCAAAGAAGGUAAUAAUCCUGUAGUCGAAAAUGUUGUCUCUCUUGAGUGGAUCCUGAGUACGACGGAGCACGUGAAAUUCCGUCGGAAUCUGGGAGGACCAUCUCCUAAGGCUAAAUACUCUCUAGUGACCGAUAGUGAACCAGUACCGUGAGGGAAAGGUGAAAAGCACCCCGGAAGGGGAGUGAAAUAGAACCUGAAACCGUGUGCUUACAAGUAGUCAGAGCCCGUUAAUGGGUGAUGGCGUGCCUUUUGUAGAAUGAACCGGCGAGUUACGAUUUGAUGCAAGGUUAAGCAGUAAAUGUGGAGCCGUAGCGAAAGCGAGUCUGAAUAGGGCGUUUAGUAUUUGGUCGUAGACCCGAAACCAGGUGAUCUACCCUUGGUCAGGUUGAAGUUCAGGUAACACUGAAUGGAGGACCGAACCGACUUACGUUGAAAAGUGAGCGGAUGAACUGAGGGUAGCGGAGAAAUUCCAAUCGAACCUGGAGAUAGCUGGUUCUCUCCGAAAUAGCUUUAGGGCUAGCCUCAAGUGAUGAUUAUUGGAGGUAGAGCACUGUUUGGACGAGGGGCCCCUCUCGGGUUACCGAAUUCAGACAAACUCCGAAUGCCAAUUAAUUUAACUUGGGAGUCAGAACAUGGGUGAUAAGGUCCGUGUUCGAAAGGGAAACAGCCCAGACCACCAGCUAAGGUCCCAAAAUAUAUGUUAAGUGGAAAAGGAUGUGGCGUUGCCCAGACA
rnacentral:rRNA from 1 species